rnacentral:rRNA from 1 species
UACGUAUGCAGCAAGCGUUGUUCGGAAUUAUUGGGCGUAAAGAGUGUGUAGGCGGUGCUCUAAGUUUGGUGUGAAAUCUCCCGGCUUAACUGGGAGGGUGCGCCGAAAACUGGAGUGCUUGAGUAUGGGAGAGGUAAGCGGAAUUCCUGGUGUAGCGGUGAAAUGCGUAGAUAUCAGGAGGAACACCUGUGGUGUAGACAGCUUACUGGACCAUCACUGACGCUGAGACACGAAAGCGUGGGUAGCAAACAGG